CUGUUUUACAGCACAGAAGAACAUUUUGAGGUUCAAAUUAUGACUGAUGAAAGUACAUCGAUAUCAGAGCAAGACCAGAUAAAGGAUAAAAUGGAAGUAACGACACC